UGGGGAAUUUUGCACAAUGGGGGAAACCCUGAUGCAGCGACGCCGCGUGAUUUAGAAGGCCUUCGGGUUGUAAAAAUCUUUUCGAUGGGAAGAAAAUGACAGUACCAUAGGAAUAAGGACCGGCUAAUUACGUGCCAGCAGCCGCGGUAAUACGUAAGGUCCGAGCGUUGUCCGGAAUCAUUGGGCGUAAAGGGUACGUAGGCGGGUAAGCAAGUUAGAAGUGAAAUCCUAUAGCUCAACUAUAGUAAGCUUUUAAAACUGCUCAUCUUGAGGUAUGGAAGGGAAAGUGGAAUUCCUAGUGUAGCGGUGAAAUGCGCAGAUAUUAGGAGGAAUACCGGUGGCGAAGGCGACUUUCUGGCCAUAACCUGACGCUGAGGUACGAAAGCGUGGGUAGCAAACAGG
rnacentral:rRNA from 1 species